GUUGAAGAACGUAGUGAAAUGCGAUAAGUAAUGUGAAUUGCAGAAUUCAGUGAAUCAUCGAAUCUUUGAACGCACAUUGCGCCCGUCAGUAUUCUGGCGGGCAUGCCUGUUCGAGCGUCAUUACGCCCCUCAAGUCCCCUGUGGACUUGGUGUUGGGGAUCGGCGAGGCUGGUUUUCCAGCACAGCCGUCCCUUAAAUUAAUUGGCGGUCUCGCCGUGGCCCUCCUCUGCGCAGUAGUAAAACACUCGCAACAGGAGCCCGGCGCGGUCCACUGCCGUAAAACCCCCCAACUUUUUAUAGUUGACCUCGAAUCAGGUAGGACUACCCGCUGAACUUAAGCAUAUCAAUAAGCGGAGGA
rnacentral:misc_RNA from 1 species